rnacentral:rRNA from 1 species
UGAAAGCCCGGCGCUCAACCUCGGAACUGCAUUUGAAACUGGUAGACUAGAGUACUGUAGAGGUGGGUGGAAUUUCAAGUGUAGCGGUGAAAUGCGUAGAUAUUGGAAGGAAUACCGGUGGCGAAGGCGGCCCACUGGACUGAUACUGACGCUCAGAUACGAAUGCGUGGGGAGCAAUCGGGAUUAGAUACCCUGGUAGUCCUCGCCGUAAACGAUGUCUACUUGAAGUUUGUUACCUUGAUCCGUGCCUUUCGGAGCUAACGCUUUAACUAUACCG